rnacentral:rRNA from 1 species
AUUCCAGCUCCAAUAGUGUAUAUUAAAGUUGUUGCAGUUAAAAAGCUCGUAGUUGGAUUUCUGGCGGGAGCGAUCGGUCCUUCACUCAGUGUUGGAACCUGAUUGUCUCCUGCCAUCCAUGGAGAAAACUUAUCUGGCAUUAAGUUGUCGGGUAGGCAAUCUCCAUCUUUUACUGUGAAAAAAUUAGAGUGUUCAAAGCAGGCUUAUGCCGUUGAAUAUAUUAGCAUGGAAUAAUAAGAUAGGACUAUGGUACCAUUUUGUUGGUUUGUGCACCAUGGUAAUGAUUAAUAGGGACAGUUGGGGGUAUUCGUAUUCCAUUGUCAGAGGUGAAAUUCUUGGAUUUAUGGAAGACGAACUACUGCGAAAGCAUUUACCAAGGAUGUUUUCAUUG